rnacentral:tRNA from 1 species
CAUUGAAUGGCUGAAAAAAGCAAUGGUCUCUUAAACCAAUUCAUAGUUUAUAUUAACUUUCAAUGG